GAUGAACGCUGGCGGCGUGCUUAACACAUGCAAGUCGAACGGAAAGGCUCCUGCUUGCAGUGGUACUCGAGUGGCGAACGGGUGGGUAACACGUGGGUGGUCUGCCCUGCACUUCGGGAUAAGCAUUGGAAACUGGGGCUAAUACCGGAUAGUACGAUGGUUUGGAUGCCAUUGUGGAAAGUUUUUCGGUGUGGGAUGAGCUCGCGGCCUAUGAGCUUGUUGGGGGGGUAAUGGCCUACCAAGGCGUCGACGGGUAGCCGGCCUGAGAGGGGGGACGGGCACCAUAGUCCUGCGGUAGGGCGCAGAGUCGUACGGGGGGCAGCAGUGGCGAGUAUGGCGCAACGGUGGCAAGUGUGUGGAGACGACGUUGGGUUGGGGAAGAAGGCCUUCCGGUUGUGAACUGAUUUAGCUAGAGACGAAGCGUAAGUGACGGUACCUGGAGAAGAAGCACCGGCUAACUACGUG
rnacentral:rRNA from 1 species